GAGUAUAUCUGUAGACCUUGUCUGACUCUACUCGUGGCAGGCCGGGGAGACAGUGUAUGCCAGAUUAAUUGGAGUUCAUAUGAGUUGUAAGCUUUUAAUCAGUAACUGGAUAAUUUGUAAUACUCCAGCAGUC